GGGGACACCAAGCAGCUACUUAGGCUACUUUGCUUAGUGACAGAAGUGCCUCUACAACCAACACAAUAAUAAAUAAAUAAGGAUUUGUGAAGGAUAUUUCCAACAGCUGUCUGUUUCACGAAUAACACAGUAGUAACUAGCAACAAGUUUUCAUUAUGUAGCUUAGUGUCCACAGAAAUCAAGGUGUGAACGAGCAGAAUCAAUUUUUGGUCUUUUGGCGCACUCUGCUGACAAAAACGUGUAUUGCAGUCGAUAAGAGUAACUGUACACGUCAUCACAUCACUGCGCAUGUUCACUCAGGAUUAGUUGUUCGACGACAAGACAUGCAAGUUUCUUCCCUGCAGUGUUUGGAAGUGUUUUGCCAUUUGGGAUAAAAAGAUGGGUCGUCGCAAUAAAAAGUCUCAAGCUGCAAGAAGGCGCUAUGUUCCACUGGACUUGGAUGCAGAAGGGCAGCAACCAAAGGCCCAGAAGUCUUUUGCAGAUGUUGUGAAACCUGUUGAGAGACCACAGUCCACAGAUGAUGUUGAAAGCAGACAGCGGUUUUCAGAGGCCCCGCUGUCUGCUGAAGUUUUGCAGACCUCUGAAACGGUGGCGCUGCCGACUCAGCCUGCAUCUUUGUCCCUCUGUGACACCUCUAUCUCACCUGACAUAACUGAUUUUUCUAUCUUUCCUAUCCUUCACAACAACAAGACAAGCAAAAGCACUUUGCAUUCUCGUUCAAACAAACUCAAUGAUUCUGUCAACAAGUCUGUGCUCUCAAACGAACUCAAUGAUUCUGUCACAAAGCCUGUGCCCUCAAACAAACUCAAUCAAUGUCAAAUGGCUUCAAUUACUCA